AACGAACGCUGGCGGCAUGCCUAACACAUGCAAGUCGAACGAGACCUUCGGGUCUAGUGGCGCACGGGUGCGUAACGCGUGGGAACCUGCCCUUAGGUUCGGAAUAACUCCCCGAAAGGGGUGCUAAUACCGGAUAAUGUCUUCGGACCAAAGAUUUAUCGCCUUUGGAUGGGCCCGCGUUUGAUUAGCUAGUUGGUAGGGUAAAAGCCUACCAAGGCGACGAUCCAUAGCUGGUCUGAGAGGAUGAUCAGCCACACUGGGACUGAGACACGGCCCAGACUCCUACGGGAGGCAGCAGUGGGGAAUCUUGGACAAUGGGCGAAAGCCUGAUCCAGCAAUGCCGCGUGAGUGAUGAAGGCCUUAGGGUUGUAAAGCUCUUUUACCCGGGAUGAUAAUGACAGUACCGGGAGAAUAAGCUCCGGCUAACUCCGUG
rnacentral:rRNA from 1 species